GACGAACGCUGGCGGCGUGCUUAACACAUGCAAGUCGAGCGGUAAGGCCCUUUCGGGGGUACACGAGCGGCGAACGGGUGAGUAACACGUGGGUGACCUGCCCUCAGCUCUGGGAUAAGCCUGGGAAACCGAGUCUAAUACUGGAUAUGACUCCAUGACGCAUGUUGUGGGGUGGAAAGCCUUGUGCGGCUGAGGAUGGGCCCGCGGCCUAUCAGCUUGUUGGUGGGGUGAUGGCCUACCAAGGCGACGACGGGUAGCCGGCCUGAGAGGGCGACCGGCCACACUGGGACUGAGACACGGCCCAGACUCCUACGGGAGGCAGCAGUGGGGAAUCUUGCGCAAUGGGCGAAAGCCUGACGCAGCGACGCCGCGUGAGGGAUGAC
rnacentral:rRNA from 1 species